UACGAGGGGGGCAAGCGUUGUCCGGAUUUAUUGGGCGUAAAGAGCGUGUAGGCGGCUAUACAGGUCCGUUGUGAAAACUCGAGGCUCAACCUCGAGACGCCGAUGGAAACCGUAUGGCUAGAGUCCGGAAGAGGAGAGCGGAAUUCCUGGUGUAGCGGUGAAAUGCGCAGAUAUCAGGAAGAACACCCGUGGCGAAGGCGGCUCUCUGGGACGGUACUGACGCUGAGACGCGAAAGCGUGGGGAGCGAACAGG
rnacentral:rRNA from 1 species